UGACCUCAAAUCAGGUAGGACUACCCGCUGAACUUAAGCAUAUCAAUAA
rnacentral:rRNA from 21 species